GCGAGGAUAAAGCAAGAUGGCGUCUGACGAUGAAGACGUUAUUGCAGUCGUCACAGUUCAGUGUUCUUAAUCUGUGCCUCCAUGUACACAUAUAUGUCCUUUAUUACACUCUAGUAAAUAGAGUAAACAUCGUUAAUAACUGUUUGCAUCUGGUUAUAUUAGUCUGAGCGCACUUUGAUGCUUCUCGAGCUAGCUUAGCCUGCUAGUUAGCUUAGCUUGUUAGCUGCUAACAAAGAGAGGCGGAAGUGAUCAAAACACAUCACUAAGUAGAGAUCAAGUGUGAGUGUAAAGUGUUGUGAUUGUGUGAAAAUGUGCCAAAGAACCACAGCAGAGUACGAGGAGGAACUUUGUCCAACAUGAAAAACAUCAAGUUGUGUUACACAGAACAGACAUCCAUCAGCUGAUUGGACACCAAGAAGAAUGUCUCCCUCAUCUGCAGGGGGACAGUUUCACUUUAGAGUAUCCACAGCCCUCACAUUUCAAAGAGGAAGAGGAGGGAGAGUGUCCUGUAGGGCAGGAGAAGGCUGAUGUCAGCAAGUUUCCACUGACUGUUGUCUCUGUGAAGACUGAAGAGCAUGAAGACAAACCACCUGAGUCCUCACAGCUUCAUCACAGUCCAAACAUCUGUGAAGAACAUCUUGACCCUGAGCAACAGAAGUGGAGCUUCAGGAUGCGAACGGAGGAGCCACAGCCCUUCCACAUUAAGAAGGAAGAGGAAUACUACAGACCCCCAUUUUUAAAGAGGAAGAGGAGGACCCACAGACACCCCAUUUUAAAAAGGAAGUGGUGGAUCCACUGACACCCCAUUUUAAAAAGGAAGCGGUGGAUCCACUGAGCCCUCACAUUAAAGAGGAAGAGGAAGAACACAGCAUCAAUCAGCAGGGAGAGCAUCUUGAAGGACUGGAGGAGGUUGAUGUCACCAAGAUGCCAGUGACUGGUGUCCCUGUGAAGAGUGAAGAUGAUGAGGUGAAAGGUGAAAGUGAGGAGAGGGAGGGGGGGAGCCUCCAAGCAGCAGCUCAACACAACACAUGACAACAGAAGCUGAUGGAGACCACUGUGGAGGAUCACAAGCAGACAAGCUCUUAGCUCCACUAUCAGAUAGUGAGGACACAACGUCACACUCUCCUGACACUGAUGAUGAAGACUCUAAAGAUGAUAAGACAUGUCACACUGACAACACUCACUUCACAUCUUCUCACUCUCACAAAACAUUUAAAUCUCCUAGUAAGUUGAAAAGACACAUGAGAACACACACUGGAGAAAAACCUUUUUCAUGUUCAAUCUGCGGUAAAGAUUUUAUUCAGAGGUACGAUUUGAAAAGACACAUGAGAACACACACUGGAGAAAAACCUUUUUCAUGUUCAAUCUGCGGUAACGAUUUUAUUCAUAGGCAACAUUUGAAUACACACAAGACAAUACACACUGGAGAAAAACCUUUUACUUGCUCAGAAUGCUGUAAAAGAUUUGCGCGAAAAGCAGAGUUAAAAAGACACAUGAGAAUACACACUGGAGAAAAACCAUUCAUGUGCCCAAUUUGUGGCAAAGGAUUCUCCCAGAAGGGACAGUUGGUAAACCACACAAAAACACACACUGGAGAAAAACCUUUUUCAUGUUCAUCUGUAGUAAAGGAUUUACUCAAAGGCACCUUUUCAAAGCACACAUUAGAAGACACACAGGAGAAAAACCUUUUUCAUGUUCAAUGUGUGGUAAAGCUUUUACUCGAAGUGACCAUUUCAAAGCACACAUGAGAAUACACACUGGAGAAAAAACGUUUUUAUGUUCAAUCUGCGGUAAAGAUUUUACUCGAAGGGACCAUUUCAAAGCACAUAUGAGAAUACACAAUGAAUAAAAAACCUUUUUCUUGUUAAGAA